GGAAGUUGACAUGUCAUCACUUCAUUUUUUUGCGCCUGCGCAUAAAUCUGAGAAACGUGAGUUUGUCAUCAUUUUUUAUCUAGACAUAGGAUAGGUUGAGUGAAAAUAUUACUGAUGUUUAACGUUAAAAAUGGACCAAAAGAUUAAUGCUAAACAACAUUUGACAUGUUUGAACGAACAUAAAUAGAUUAUUUACUAGGUUUUUUUAGCUUUUCGGCGUGAUUUUACCAGCCUCCACCACGUUUUGUGGGAGCAUAAUGAACGCUAAGAACUUGGUGUUAUUUGGACAUAAAUUAUGAACUUUGUCAAAAGAAACCACAUUUGUUCCGGACCUGGAAUGCCUUCCGGACCUGGGAUCCUGCCUUCUGAUGGAGAUAAUCAAAGACCUUUCUGCUGCCUUUGAUACUGUGAACCAUCAGAUCCUCCUCUCCACCCUCUCCGAGUUGGGCAUCUCCGGCGCGGCCCACGCUUGGAUUGCGUCCUACCUGACAGGUCGCUCCUACCAGGCGGCGAAUCGCAUCUCUGCAUGUCUGUCAGACAUAUCAGUGUGGAUGACGGAUCACCAGCUCAAGCUGAACCUCGGCAAGACGGAGCUGCUCUUCCUCCCGGGGAAGGACUGCCCGUUCCAUGAUCUCGCCAUCACGGUUGACAACUC
rnacentral:lncRNA from 1 species